rnacentral:rRNA from 1 species
AACCUCCGCAAUGUGAGAAAUCGCGACGGGGGGAUCCCAAGUGCCAUUCUUAACGGGAUGGCUUUUCAUUAGUGUAAAGAGCUUUUGGAAUAAGGGCUGGGCAAGACCGGUGCCAGCCGCCGCGGUAACACCGGCAGCUCUAGUGGUAGCAGUUUUUAUUGGGCCUAAAGCGUCCGUAGCCGGUUUAAUAAGUCUCUGGUGAAAUCCUGUAGCUUAACUGUGGGAAUUGCUGGAGAUACUAUUAGACUUGAGACCGGGAGAGGUUAGAGGUACUCCCAGGGUAGAGGUGAAAUUCUGUAAUCCUGGGAGGACCGCCUGUUGCGAAGGCGUCUAACUGGAACGGUUCUGACGGUGAGGGACGAAAGUUAGGGGCGCGAAACCGGAUUAGAUACCCGGGUAGUCCUAACUGUAAACGAUGCGGACUUGGUGUUGGGGUGGCUUUGAGCUGCUCCAGUGCCGAAGGGAAGCUGUUAAGCCGCCGCCUGGGAAGUACGGUCGCAAGACUGAAACUUAAAGGAAUU